GGGUUGUGAGGUUAAGCGACUAAGCGUACACGGUGGAUGCCCUGGCAGUCAGAGGCGAUGAAGGACGUGCUAAUCUGCGAUAAGCGUCGGUAAGGUGAUAUGAACCGUUAUAACCGGCGAUUUCCGAAUGGGGAAACCCAGUGUGAUUCGUCACACUAUCAUUAACUGAAUCCAUAGGUUAAUGAGGCGAACCGGGGGAACUGAAACAUCUAAGUACCCCGAGGAAAAGAAAUCAACCGAGAUUCCCCCAGUAGCGGCGAGCGAACGGGGAGCAGCCCAGAGCCUGAAUCAGUGUGUGUGUUAGUGGAAGCGUCUGGAAAGGCGCGCGAUACAGGGUGACAGCCCCGUACACAAAAAUGCACAUGCUGUGAGCUCGAUGAGUAGGGCGGGACACGUGGUAUCCUGUCUGAAUAUGGGGGGACCAUCCUCCAAGGCUAAAUACUCCUGACUGACCGAUAGUGAACCAGUACCGUGAGGGAAAGGCGAAAAGAACCCCGGCGAGGGGAGUGAAAAAGAACCUGAAACCGUGUACGUACAAGCAGUGGGAGCACGCUUCGGCGUGUGACUGCGUACCUUUUGUAUAAUGGGUCAGCGACUUAUAUUCUGUAGCAAGGUUAACCGAAUAGGGGAGCCGAAGGGAAACCGAGUCUUAACUGGGCGUUAAGUUGCAGGGUAUAGACCCGAAACCCGGUGAUCUAGCCAUGGGCAGGUUGAAGGUUGGGUAACACUAACUGGAGGACCGAACCGACUAAUGUUGAAAAAUUAGCGGAUGACUUGUGGCUGGGGGUGAAAGGCCAAUCAAACCGGGAGAUAGCUGGUUCUCCCCGAAAGCUAUUUAGGUAGCGCCUCGUGAAUUCAUCUCCGGGGGUAGAGCACUGUUUCGGCAAGGGGGUCAUCCCGACUUACCAACCCGAUGCAAACUGCGAAUACCGGAGAAUGUUAUCACGGGAGACACACGGCGGGUGCUAACGUCCGUCGUGAAGAGGGAAACAACCCAGACCGCCAGCUAAGGUCCCAAAGUCAUGGUUAAGUGGGAAACGAUGUGGGAAGGCCCAGACAGCCAGGAUGUUGGCUUAGAAGCAGCCAUCAUUUAAAGAAAGCGUAAUAGCUCACUGGUCGAGUCGGCCUGCGCGGAAGAUGUAACGGGGCUAAACCAUGCACCGAAGCUGCGGCAGCGACACUAUGUGUUGUUGGGUAGGGGAGCGUUCUGUAAGCCUGUGAAGGUGGCCUGUGAGGGUUGCUGGAGGUAUCAGAAGUGCGAAUGCUGACAUAAGUAACGAUAAAGCGGGUGAAAAGCCCGCUCGCCGGAAGACCAAGGGUUCCUGUCCAACGUUAAUCGGGGCAGGGUGAGUCGACCCCUAAGGCGAGGCCGAAAGGCGUAGUCGAUGGGAAACAGGUUAAUAUUCCUGUACUUGGUGUUACUGCGAAGGGGGGACGGAGAAGGCUAUGUUGGCCGGGCGACGGUUGUCCCGGUUUAAGCGUGUAGGCUGGUUUUCCAGGCAAAUCCGGAAAAUCAAGGCUGAGGCGUGAUGACGAGGCACUACGGUGCUGAAGCAACAAAUGCCCUGCUUCCAGGAAAAGCCUCUAAGCAUCAGGUAACAUCAAAUCGUACCCCAAACCGACACAGGUGGUCAGGUAGAGAAUACCAAGGCGCUUGAGAGAACUCGGGUGAAGGAACUAGGCAAAAUGGUGCCGUAACUUCGGGAGAAGGCACGCUGAUAUGUAGGUGAAGCGACUUGCUCGUGGAGCUGAAAUCAGUCGAAGAUACCAGCUGGCUGCAACUGUUUAUUAAAAACACAGCACUGUGCAAACACGAAAGUGGACGUAUACGGUGUGACGCCUGCCCGGUGCCGGAAGGUUAAUUGAUGGGGUUAGCGGUAACGCGAAGCUCUUGAUCGAAGCCCCGGUAAACGGCGGCCGUAACUAUAACGGUCCUAAGGUAGCGAAAUUCCUUGUCGGGUAAGUUCCGACCUGCACGAAUGGCGUAAUGAUGGCCAGGCUGUCUCCACCCGAGACUCAGUGAAAUUGAACUCGCUGUGAAGAUGCAGUGUACCCGCGGCAAGACGGAAAGACCCCGUGAACCUUUACUAUAGCUUGACACUGAACAUUGAGCCUUGAUGUGUAGGAUAGGUGGGAGGCUUUGAAGUGUGGACGCCAGUCUGCAUGGAGCCGACCUUGAAAUACCACCCUUUAAUGUUUGAUGUUCUAACGUUGACCCGUGAUCCGGGUUGCGGACAGUGUCUGGUGGGUAGUUUGACUGGGGCGGUCUCCUCCUAAAGAGUAACGGAGGAGCACGAAGGUUGGCUAAUCCUGGUCGGACAUCAGGAGGUUAGUGCAAUGGCAUAAGCCAGCUUGACUGCGAGCGUGACGGCGCGAGCAGGUGCGAAAGCAGGUCAUAGUGAUCCGGUGGUUCUGAAUGGAAGGGCCAUCGCUCAACGGAUAAAAGGUACUCCGGGGAUAACAGGCUGAUACCGCCCAAGAGUUCAUAUCGACGGCGGUGUUUGGCACCUCGAUGUCGGCUCAUCACAUCCUGGGGCUGAAGUAGGUCCCAAGGGUAUGGCUGUUCGCCAUUUAAAGUGGUACGCGAGCUGGGUUUAGAACGUCGUGAGACAGUUCGGUCCCUAUCUGCCGUGGGCGCUGGAGAACUGAGGGGGGCUGCUCCUAGUACGAGAGGACCGGAGUGGACGCAUCACUGGUGUUCGGGUUGUCAUGCCAAUGGCACUGCCCGGUAGCUAAAUGCGGAAGAGAUAAGUGCUGAAAGCAUCUAAGCACGAAACUUGCCCCGAGAUGAGUUCUCCCUGACUCCCUGAGAGUCCUGAAGGAACGUUGAAGACGACGACGUUGAUAGGCCGGGUGUGUAAGCGCAGCGAUGCGUUGAGCUAACCGGUACUAAUGAACCGUGAGGCUUAACCUUACAACGCCGAAG
rnacentral:rRNA from 1 species